UACGAAGGGUGCAAGCGUUACUCGGAAUCACUGGGCGUAAAGCGUGCGUAGGCGGUUCGUUAAGUCUGUUGUGAAAGCCUUGGGCUCAACCUGGGAACUGCAGUGGAUACUGGCGAGCUAGAGUACGGUAGAGGAAGGUGGGAUUCCCGGUGUAGCGGUGAAAUGCGUAGAGAUCGGGAGGAACACCAGUGGCGAAAGCGGGUCUCUGGGCAUUUCCUGACGCUGAGGCGCGAAAGCGUGGGGAGCAAACGGG
rnacentral:rRNA from 1 species